AACUAAACGGGGUGAGGUCACAUUCGGUUAUCUCUAACGUUGGAAAACGCCCCACUGUAACUGCCCUAAUCUGAGCUUUCACCACUUUUCUCGAAGAUUACUUCACCAGCUUCUGAAGUGGUUUUCUUGACUCAGCACUGUCAAUUAAGAUCUGUUCACUGCGGCAGGGUUGAUGUUCUUGAAACAGUACUGUCAUCACUUCAUCAACAUACUCGGACCUCUUGUGGAUGGAUUAAGUCUUCUCCAUAACCUUGCCCGA
rnacentral:lncRNA from 10 species